rnacentral:rRNA from 1 species
UACGGAGGGUGCAAGCGUUGUCCGGAAUCACUGGGCGUAAAGGGCGCGUAGGCGGCUCAUGAAGGCUGUGGUGAAAGUCCGGGGCUCAACCUCGGAUCGGCCGUGGCGACUCGUGGGCUGGAGCACUGUAGAGGCGGGUGGAAUUCCGGGUGUAGCGGUGGAAUGCGUAGAGAUCAGGAAGAACACCAGUGGCGAAGGCGGCCCGCUGGGCAGUGGCUGACGCUGAGGCGCGACAGCGUGGGGAGCAAACAGG